rnacentral:lncRNA from 1 species
CAGCCAGAACCGCAGCAAACGCCCCAUAGAAAACAACAGUCCCAGCUUGCUUGCAUUCCCCAAUCCAUCAACCUCCAUGGCCAAGCUGGACGCCAGCUUGGAAACUCAAGGGACUCGUCUCCGUCUAAGCCCCGUCUCUUCCCUGCCCCAGAUGGCCCUUAUAUGAGCUGGAUCCAUUUUCUUGGCCACCUUGCUGAAUGCAGUGCACACUCAUUCCAGAAAAUGCCGACCUCUGCUCCAAGUCGCCUCGUCGGCAGUUUCCCAGACAUGGCUGGACUGUUUAUUUAUUUAUUUUUGUGUUAGCAAAAAGGAGGAAAUCACAUCGGCCUCAAAUGAAUACUAAUGAAAUGCCUUCGUUAGCUUCCUUUGUGAUAAGAAUGAGAAACCGGAUUUCUGCAGAAUUGCAAGCCAUAUCUUUCUUUCUCCUAAUGUUUUUUGGUGGGUUUUGUUGUUGUUGUUGUUGUUGUUUUGUUUUUGUUUUGCCCUUUCCUCUGAUGGGAAGAUGAGGGACAACGGAGAAGGAGAGUAGAGUCAUUUCAUAAAAAAUAUCUGCAUUUUUAAAGGUGCCUUUGUUGCAGAGGGAUAUAGAGGUGCAAUUUCUCCAAACCUACUUUUCUCAGCCUGUAAAGCAAAUGUACCUAUUUGUCCUCUGCUGCAACAAUGCCAGCUGCAUUCAAUCAACGGAGAAGCUGCAAGCCAUAAACCUUCUUCCACAGCUCAGGGGGUGGGGGUGGGGAGAGGGAGCAAGAGAGGAGGCAUGCCAUAAAAAUUCAUCAGAAUAAUGCAGGGAUGAGACGCGCUCAGAUCGCCAGCAAGCAAUCAACCAAUCACUCAUCCCGUGGCAUUUACAGCACGUCUCAUUCCCCUGUUCCUUAAGGACAAUUGAUUUUUCCUGAUUCCAUUAGCAUAACGGCGUGGAAAAUGUCUGCAGUGCAAUAUUUCUGGAAACUUCCAACAAGUAGGCUGGGCACUGGAGUGUGACCAUCUCCAUAAAGCUUCCUCAGGCUCUGCGGCAGACGCCGCCACAGCCGCCGCAAAAGGCCCAGAGAGAAUGGCACAGCCGCCAAAACUUGGGGACCAAGGGCACCUUAGGGGUGUCAAACCAGGUAAUUGGUACCAAGGUGAAAACCCUCGUUUUCUUAUCCCUGAACACAGAAGCACUUUUUCUUGCAUGACAGGGGGGCACUACGGAGUGACAGGAGAAAGCAAAACCCACCUAGCCAGGAGGGGCCACUCCCAUGGCAUAGGGAGGUUCCCAGGGGAGCGGCCCUAGAAAAGGCAAAAAGACAAAAAACAAAACAAAACAAAAAAACCCUCCAUGGCUCCUCACUGCCAGUUUUUCUCUUUAAGAUUCAGCUCAGGUUCGGCCUCCUCCAGGAAGCCUUCUUUGAGCUCACACUUUGUUAUGGUUAUCUGUGUCCAUAUCUUCUUCAUCCUAGACGGUGGGCACCGUCUAAGGCAGUUUUCCAGUCCCAUAUCCCUGGUACCUCUCACAGAACCUGCUGGUGAGAAAACCAGCUUACAAAGGCAGUGCUGAUCUCGUGGGCUGAGGCGCUACACUUACUGUAGGUAGAGGCUGUCUGGGUGCUGACCAUGGUCCUGAAUAUUUGAGCUCUGAGGACUGAAGAAGGAGGUAAUAAAGAAACCUUAAGUGUGGUGAAAACCAUCCACAUUCAGACAACCUCCAAACAGCCAGCCUUUGAACAGCAGAAGGAGGGCUGGGAUUCUGGGCACUUAAGUUCCAGGCCUGGCUCUGCUGCUAACAUUCUGCUCAAGACAAAACAUUUCUGGAUCUCAAUUUUUCUCAUCUGUCAAAUGGAAAUAAAACCUGACUUGCCCAUAUCACAAGAUUGUUCUAAGGAUGACAGAGAUGGUAUCUGUGAAGCCCUUCGUUAUCUUUUUUGAAAAUGACUGCCAUGAAAGUCUCCUAAGUUUCCUUCCAGCUCGUUCAGUGUUUACUGAUUAAAACUUAUCUGCACUGACCACCUCCACUUCCUUUCUUCCAACUUACUCCUCGGCCCCUUUCGGUGUGGCUUCUAGAUGCAUCACUCUGACAAAACACCUCUCAAUAAUGACCUCAUGCUACUAAAUUCAUUGGCAUUUUUCAAUCUUUAUUAUACUUGUUCUCCUGGAACCAUGUUUCUUGCUCUCAAGCCCUUAUCUGAGGAUGUAAUUAUGCAUUCAUUCAUGUGACUGUUGUAGCAAUACUUGCUCCCCAAUUGGAAUGUGAACUCCAAGAAGGUAAGCCCUGCAUUUGUUUUUUGCUCACUACUACACCCUCAGGUCCUGGCACAAUGUUCAUGGGCAGCAGCCUCUCCCGUGACUUAGCGGGAAGGCAGGCACUGUGCCCAGGGCAGGCCUGGCCAUAUCCACCACUGACUGAGACACCAACAGAAGGCCUGGAAGCCCAAGAGUCAACUUCCCAAUGCCCAAGCUUCCACCUAAUGGGGCUUGGAGCUCUGCGGAGGCCUCCACCCUCUCAAGAAAUGUGGAUGCUAUGAGGAAGACUGGGACGGCGCCUAUCAGCAUGAGCACAGUAAGCAUCGAGAGGUAAAUAUUGUGGGACAAGAUCUAGGAAAACGAUGGAGCCCAGAUGCUUUGCUGUAUGAAAAAUGAAAGCCAGGGACAGAGAGUAAAUGUGAUCUAAGAUCUCAGAGUGAGUUAAUGUCCUCCACAGCCCAGAGAGACCAAGAGGCAGGAAGUAUGGUCUCUCAGAACCCCUGGGCUCCUUUCUCUGGGCCACCACGGCCUCUGGGCCACCCCUUACCAUAAUAUGUCUCCUAGGGUGAUCAUUUUCUGUUCACAUGUCUGCCUCCCCUCGAAGGGCAAAGACAGUAUCUGGUUGAGGGUUUUGUAUUGCCAGGGCCUAGCUCCAGGCAUGAUACAUACAAGGGGUCAACUUAUGUUUCUUGGAUGGAUAUUGGAUGGUGCAGAGGUUGAAGAAGUGAGUGCUGAGAUAUAAGAAGGUUGGCUGUGAACCAGCAUCAGCGCCCCUACACAGUCUCAGAGCCCCACCCAGCUCCCAUGCCCGGUAACAAGAGAGGGCCAGUCUCAAGCCUGGACAUCCCUAAGAUCCGGCUGUGGGCUCCAUGGUGAAGUUCAUAGAUAUGCUACUGAAUUCCUGCUGAAUUUUCAGCCUGCUCACCCAAGAAAGCCAGAGCCACUCCAUAACCCUCUGAGAACGAUAGAACGUCAGAGUUGGUGAUUCAUCCUUACAGGUAACACAAAGCAGAGAAUAUUAUCUGCACUUUUAAAGCCAUGGAAACUGAGGUUAUUCCAUCCAUUCCAUAGGGAGGCAGAGCAAGGAUUUUGCAGGCAGAACCCCCAAGUGUGAAUUCUAGAUUCCUCAUUUAUAGCUCUUCACCUCAAGUCCACGGUAUGGAUUUGUGAGGACAGAGGAGAUAUUAGCUUUGCCUUCAAAGAGCUUACACUCAUUAAUAGGAAAAAAGACGUGAUUAAAAGAACUCUUUUGCCAGGUAGGAUAUGACUAAGAGCCUCUAAAGAGAUGGUGGGGAGGCUCAUAGCCAUCUGGGAAGAACACUUUAUGAAGAAAACAGUCUCUCAUCUGAGUCUUGAAAGAUACAUGGGAUUUUAAUGGCAUCGAAAGGAAGAAAAUCCUGGUGAAUGAGGAAGUAAGUGAGCCUUGGGCACAUUCCUGGAAAGAGAAGUGAGCCUGUUUCACUGGAAAGUUUAGGGAAUGUGUGGAAUAUAAGUGGGAGCUGAGGCCAAAGUAAAGAGAGACUUGAAUGCCAUUUAAAUACUCA